AGACAUCUUAAACAGCUGCAAUAUCAGGCUUGGCCACUGAGCACUGGUGGAUUACAAAACAAGUAUGCAAUGCUCCUGGGGACCUGCUUGUGCAGAGCGAACUCAAAUUGCCGGCAGAAUGGGCGGGGCUACCCAGUCUACGCAGAUCGAGGAGUGGCCAUGGACCAAGCCCCAUAGACCUAUUAAAGAACGAAGCGGCUAGGUCAAUGGCAUGAACCUAUAAAGAAAGGGAGUGGCUCAACGUGGGUGGAGCUAAAUGUUUGGCUUUGCACCGGAAGACGAAGAAUGUGCGUCCGACUCCAAGGCCAUAGUAUUGUGUGCUUUUCUGCUUAGAGAGUAUGUCUGUGAGAAAUAAAGAAGCUACUUUGAUAGACCUUGUGUUGUGUGUGCGUUUGACACGUGUCCCGCAGCCGUACCGCCCGCUACAUGGAGCACCACAUACUGGGCCGGAAGCCUCUCAUGCUCUCCACGGUCAAGCCCAGGCUGAUUUACUCCCUCUUCCUGAGGCCAUCCCUUAUGAGGGAAAUGUGAGACACAUCAGUAUACUCUCGGAUGGUGAUACACCAACCAUUAAUAAAUGCACCAACCGUGAACUUUUCCACUGUCCCUUCUGCAAAUAUGUGGGUGCAAUAUAUAUGGUUGACAACCAUAUAAAAGGCCAUUCUUCAGUAAAACAUAAAGGGUUCACAAUGAUCAAGUGUGGAUUAAGUUGUCGGACGGCAACGCAUUUUCAUUGUUGCUAUUGUACAGCAACAAUUAUAAAUCGAUUGCAAUUUACAAAGCACUUACUAAUACACCAGGGGAAGGGGCAUGCUGCAGCCCCCGCACGGCACUCUGUGGCCCCUGUGCAGCAGUCUGUGGCCCCCGCUCAUCACCCAUUGGUCCCCGCUCAGUACCAAGAGGCCGCCGCUCAUCACCCAUUGGCCCCCCCCGCUCAGCACCCAUUGGCCCCCACUCAGCACCCAGAGGCCCCGGCUCAGCACCCAGAGGCCCCGGCUCAGCACCCAGCAGCCCCCACUCAACACCCAUUGGCCCCGCUCAGCACCCAUUGCCCCCAGCUCAGCACCCAUUGGCCCCAACUCAUCACCCAGAGGCCCCCACUCAGCACCCAGAGGCCCCCACUCAUCACCCAGAGGCCCCCACUCAUCACCCAGAGGCCCCCACUCAUCACCCAGAGGCCCCCACUCAUCACACACAGGCCCCCACUCAUCACACAGAGGCCCCACUCAUCACACAGAGGCCCCCACUCAUCACACAGAGGCCCCCACUCAGCACCCAUUGGCCCCAACUCAUCACCCAGAGGCCCCCACUCAUCACCCAGAGGCCCCCACUCAUCACCCAGAGGCCCCCACUCAUCACCCAGAGGCCCCCACUCAUCACCCAGAGGCCCCCACUCAUCACCCAGAGGGCCCCACUCAUCACACACAGGCCCCCACUCAUCACACACAGGCCCCCACUCAUCACACACAGGCUCCUGCAGAGUGUUCCGAGGCCACUAAAGCAUCUAGUAAACAAAAUAAACUCUGUUGUCCUCAUUGCAAGAUGAUUUUAAGCAAAAAAAACUUCAAAACACACUGCAGGAGAAAACACCCCCACCAAUUUGAGACGGACACUUGGCGUGAAUGAUGUCAAGGGUCUGAAGAUGACAGAUUUCUGGACAGAAAAAGGCGACAAGAGCAAGGAGGCCAACAGGAUUUGGAAGUGGUCCCUCCAAAACCAAUUCAGCUAUUCAAAGCUAUUUCUGAAGCAUCAGAGGAAGCUGAGUACUUGACAGAACUGGGAACAGGGUAUGUUUCUCCAACCUUUAAUAGGGCCUGAGCACCAUGAAAGAUCAAACAUGUUCAAUGAUUCAAAGUCUGCUGUCACUGGUUUAUUUGACUAAGCUAAUAUAGUUGAUUGUACAAAAUAACAUGUCUAUGUAUAUAUUGUUUGUCACUCUCAGGUAAAUGCUAUGGUGUAUAUCUUUUUUAUCAUUAUAGGCAGCAUGAAUGAAAUAAUGCACAGUAAAAAAACAUUUGACAAGUUAAAGGUAGGGAUGUCUGUCUUUCAAAUGCAUGAACGCAAACCUAGUUGCACAGGUUUUGAGUUCAGUGAGAGCUGAACCUCAGUACAAAGUUGUAUGUGAGGUGAAAAUGUAAAUGUAUUACCAUUAUUUUUAUUCACAAGAUGAGACAAAAAAGUAUAUAGAAUAUUAUGUAUUAUAAUUACAACUAUUAUGUAGGCUGGUAUUUACGUUUAGGAUACGAAAAGAAACAUGUUUUCCCAAAGAACUACAUUUUGGCACCAGACCUGAUCCUGACCUUAACACAUCAGGACAGAGUUUAUCAAACAAUGCCAC
ensembl:lncRNA